GAUGAACGCUGGCGGCGUGCCUAAUACAUGCAAGUCGAGCGAACAGACGAGGAGCUUGCUCCUCUGACGUUAGCGGCGGACGGGUGAGUAACACGUGGAUAACCUACCUAUAAGACUGGGAUAACUUCGGGAAACCGGAGCUAAUACCGGAUAAUAUAUUGAACCGCAUGGUUCAAUAGUGAAAGACGGUUUUGCUGUCACUUAUAGAUGGAUCCGCGCCGCAUUAGCUAGUUGGUAAGGUAACGGCUACCAAGGCAACGAUGCGUAGCCGACCUGAGAGGGUGAUCGGCCACACUGGAACUGAGACACGGUCCAGACUCCUACGGGAGGCAGCAGUAGGGAAUCUUCCGCAAUGGGCGAAAGCCUGACGGAGCAACGCCGCGUGAGUGAUGAAGGUCUUCGGAUCGUAAAACUCUGUUAUUAGGGAAGAACAAAUGUGUAAGUAACUAUGCACGUCUUGACGGUACCUAAUCAGAAAGCCACGGCUAACUACAUG
rnacentral:rRNA from 1 species